UGGGGAAUUUUGGACAAUGGGGGAAACCCUGAUCCAGCCAUCCCGCGUGUGCGAUGAAGGCCUUCGGGUUGUAAAGCACUUUUGGCAGGAAAGAAACGUCAUGGGUUAAUACCCCGUGAAACUGACGGUACCUGCAGAAUAAGCACCGGCUAACUACGUGCCAGCAGCCGCGGUAAAACGUAGGGUGCAAGCGUUAAUCGGAAUUACUGGGCGUAAAGCGUGCGCAGGCGGUUCGGAAAGAAAGAUGUGAAAUCCCAGAGCUCAACUUUGGAACUGCAUUUUUAACUACCGGGCUAGAGUGUGUCAGAGGGAGGUGGAAUUCCGCGUGUGGCAGUGAAAUGCGUAGAUAUGCGGAGGAACACCGAUGGCGAAGGCAGCCUCCUGGGAUAACACUGACGCUCAUGCACGAAAGCGUGGGGAGCAAACAGG
rnacentral:rRNA from 1 species